CUAAUUAACACAGCAGCCCCCACAUCAGAGUUCUUGUCGCCUUUACCCAGUACUAAGUUGGAAACAAAUUUUUCAAAAUGAAAUCCAAGAAAAAUGAAACUGAUGCUUCUGGCAGUGGCUCCUCGGACAACAAACGCGUGUUACUGUAGUGUAACAUUGGCAGCACUUUAUCGAUUAGUCAAAAGUCGACCUAGUGAUCCCUUAGAAUAAAAGUCAAUACAUUCGAAAACAGUCACUGCACGCGUCGGUUUGUUAAUUUUGACAAAUUCUCAAAGAAAAGCGGAUUUAAUAACGAAGAGUUUUAUACUUUUAAUAUUUUAAAGUGAAUUUAGUUAAAUAAUCAGCAACUAAUUAACACAGCAGUCACCACAUCAGAGUUCUUGUCGCCUUUACCCUGUAAUAAG
rnacentral:sRNA from 1 species